UAUAUAUAUAUAUAAUCUCGGUGGAUUACCGUGGCUGCGGUGUAGGCGCGGUGACCCUUACCAGCCACCGUAUCAUCUGCUAGAAGUUGCCGGCGGCACAUGCGCGCUUUGUUGUUUACGACCAAAACUUUCUUUAAGCUAAAGCUGAAAUAAUGGCAGGAGGAGACGGCAGCACUCGGGACAUUUAUUAUCCCUCAAAGAAGUCAAAGUCAGAAGUACGGGCAUUUUCUGGAUAUAUGAAGAAUGCCGAGGGCCAGUGGUCUGUGAAAGGCAGCAACGCUACGCGGCCAUCAUAAUGUAGCCAUUGUCUCACGACUCCGCCGUCUCCGGCUCGCCACUUUUCACAAAAUCUUCUGGUUGCCACUGGUCCUGGUGGUUUUUCUUCCAGUUCGACGAGUUUUCUUUUGGAAGGCUGGCUGACUCCAGUUAAAAACCGCCACAUUUCACCGCUAGUUUUAACACGAAGCUAACCGCUAACUUGAUAAACUGAUUGAAUGGGAUAGGUGGAAAUGACGUUGGGUGCGGCGCUCACGUUUCGCGUACGUUUGUGUACGUUGCAUGCAGGUGGGAGGAGUAUCAGAAAUCCGUGGAAGAAGACUGAUAAACAUAACUAAUUUGGUGCAAACAUUUACUCGCCAGGUGGCAGGUAGAGCUCAAAAAUUUACUCGCCAAAUGGAGUAAUUUACUCGCAUUUGGCGAGUGGCGAGUGUUAAUUUCGGACUCUGGGGUUAAAGCAACCAAAUAAUGUUAGGGGAAGAAGAAUUCUAUUUAUUCUUGCAUAGUGUGCACCACUCCAAGGCUUUUAACAAAAUGUUGCACUAGUGUGCUUUACUCUGCACAGCGGAGAGAGGUCUGGUUCUGCUGAGCCCGGCAAUACAUCAUCGCAGAGUCACAUGCAGCACGACACAAGACAAGCCAUCACAAAUGACUCUAAUGGGAAUUAAUGUAGCUCUGCAGAUGGCAACGGGGUCUAAACUGAAUGCAUGUCACAGCUCAUUAUUUUUAUAAUUGUUUGUUAUUUUUUAACUACAGCGUUGAGCCAAUAGAUGGGCCCCUAUUGCUUUUGUGGCAUUUCAGUGUUUGGAUAAAAAAAUCAAUGUUUUGUUUUUUUCUUCCAUGUCUGACUUAAAUGUGUCCAAGUGCCUCUACUCUGGGAUUUUUACACCAUAACCACAACACUGUGCAAUACGAUGGACAGCUGGGUGCUCCCUCCUCUCUCUGUUCACUUCAGCCAAUAAAGAGGCAGGAAUAGUUUUAAAUGUGUUAUAAAGAUGUGACGAUGCGUCCAGUUAUGUAUUCUUGAUCUUGUGAUUUUUUCUUCUUGUUUGGUGUCAGUUUGUGCCAUUUGAACUGAUCCUGUUAUCGUGUAAACAGUUUUUAUGAUUUAAAGGUCUUCACACGCCACCUGUGUCUGUAAAACGUUGUCUUUGGCUAAGAUGUGUCCAAGUGGAUGUGAAGGAAAUGAAAGGGCUCCUAUAGGACUGUUUAUGAUGAUCAUCAAGUUGUUGUUUUUAUUAUUAUUUGCUGCCUGCGCUUCAUUUUUGGAAAUGUGAUGAACACUUUACCAGCUUUUCAAAAUAAACCCUUUGUUUCCCUACACUGUUUAAUAUUCAGACCAGUUUCUUUAUCUUUGGCCAGCAAUGGGGCCAUUUUGGUUACCAAAGUUUAAAGGUGCAUUAUGUAGAAGUGAAGUAAAAAUGACAUCCUGUGGUAAAAUGUGGUUACUGCAACAAUUUUAAAUAUCUCUGGUGCUUUUUGCCGUCCGUCGUCAAAUUACACUCGCUGCAGUAUUAGCUCACAGGAGACGACACCCCCCUCACUCACCGAUGGUAAACAGUUACGUCCCUCCUUCCUUUGUUUUGAAAGGAGAAAAAUGACAAUCCCCGCAGCUGGCUGGAUAUGAAUACGUUUCAGUAGAAUCUUCCUUCCAGAAUGACUGAAACAUUAGACCCUUUUGGGAUUUUCUCACUGUAAAAUUCUCACUAUUUUCUUACAUACUGCACCUUUAAAGAUGUAGGUAAACUUGAAUGUUGUAAUUGUUUUCGAUAUAAUUGCAUCAUAAUAACUAUGCUUAGUAUUGGCUUUUUUUUACUGAUUUCCGAUUUACAGAUAUUGUCUUACUCUUAAUUUCCAAUACUGAUGUAGACCAAUAAAGAUUUAUGCUGUGUCCCACCCACAUACAAAAAGAAAAACUAAAACGAUUUAGGUUACUAAUAUCACAUUUUUUCUAUAAUGCAUACUUACAUUUGAAACAAUGUUUUGUACAAAAUGACAACUACUUUAAGUAAGUUACAGGAAAAAUGCCAUAUUUAUUUAGUCUCCAACAGCAGCUGAAUCUCGUUCUUCUCAAGUGUGAGGCUAACAGGUGUGUAUUAGUGUGUUCUUUCUUUUUGCAUCUAUGGUGACAAAACAUGUAUAAAGAUAUUCAGAUAAGAAAAGCAAGCCUUGGGUGAAGAUUCGUGUGUUUGUUUAAGUUUGUUAGCUGCUAGUUACACGUAGCUACGUGCUGUGAGGACAGCGUACACAGAGCAAAUUUCUACUUCACAAAUUGUGCAUAAUAACUAACAUAUAUCUGAAACUUUAACCCAGAUCUGUUAUAGUUUUACAUUUUGAGAGACAGCAUAUGUAGCUGAGGAGUUUGGUGUAUAAUAAGUGCACGGUAAGUAAAAAUAGUGUCUUUAAAAGAUUGAAAACUAAUACCGAUAUGUUCCUAUGUUAACUUUUAAUGCCGAUAUGGACCGAUACUAUUACCGAUACUAUGACCAAUAAUAUCGGACACCCCCUAAUGAUAACUUGUAAAUACUGUUUUCCUGUAGUAAACGUAAACCAAUCCAGUAACUCAGAAACAAGAAACAAUAUAGAUUGCUUUUAUCAUAGAAUAUUAUGUGCACAUAAAAGUGUGAAUAGCAUAAUAAAACAGGAUGCUAUAAGACAGGAAAGGAAGAGAAGAAAACAUUUUUGCGUGCUUUGCUAUUAAGAAACAUUUGUCCAUCAGAAAAAAGCUAAUUCUUAAAUUCCUUAAAGGUAAGUAUAUCCUUGUGUUACCUUUCCUGCCAAAAGGGCUAAAAUGUCAUUGUUACUUAACAUAAGGCCAUCUUACUUAAGUAUGGGUGUAGCCCUCGGCUAUUGCUCUAAACCUAUAGUCAUUUUUGUGUUUACUUAUGCUAUAAGCCAUGUUAAGUUGGGCUGACUGAAAAAUUAAAUCAGUUGUAGAUGUUUAAAAGAUUAAUUUCUGAGAUUUUCAUUCGAAUCUGCCAUGUGUGCUAGUCUGAAUUUUCAAAAGCAUUGGAUGAAGUACAUUGUUUUUCAAAAAGUCCUAGAUCUGAACUCUGAUGAAGUGCCAAAAUCUUAACAAAGCUGGAAAAGCAGGAGAAACAGGAGAGACCCAGGACACUCGUUAAGUAAGCUAAUUUAGCCUGAACUUCCACUACCUGCUAAACUAGGCCCACCCAGCAGGUGGACACCAUGCUGGCUCACCAAUUUCAGCUGUUUAGGAAAUGUGUUUUUGUAGACACAACCUGGUUGGAAGGAUUAAAUGUUUCUUCCAGCUUCUUUGUGAUAAAGUGACUAAAACCACAACAUCUGAAUGUCAGCUUUCAGAGGAAAGAAGGAUAUGCUAAAGCAACACUGAGGAUUUUUAUUUUUAUUUAUUUUUUUGCUUUCAAACUGGUUUCAGUGGUUCUUAAACCAAAACAAUGAAUAGCUUCACAUUGUGUGUUACUCUACACUCAUCGGCUGUGUCUCAAUUCAGGGUCUGCAUCCUACGUCGGCCGGAUUCGUCGGCCGGUUACGUCACAGCGCCGCGACUCGGCCUGUCCCAAUUCGAAGACUCCUUCAAAUGCGGUCGACGAAUGCGGCCUUCUUUUCGCCUGAAAGAAGGAUGGGUCCGGUGUGUCCUUCAAUAGGUAGCAUUUCCCAAGAUGCCUUGCGGGCCGGCCGGCAGAAAAACUUAAAAACAAUGGCGGACAGUGAAGCGGGAGCUGUCGGAGAGGAUUGCACAUAUAAAUGUCAGUAUAAACCUGAAAACUGUUAGGUUAAGGACUUUUUGUGUUACAUGAACGUUAUUUUAGUCAGAAAUGUUACAGUGAAAGUGCUCGUAUCGCGGUCUCGGCUCGUAUGUUCAGCCGCUCGGUGUCGUACUUCUCCCGCUACGUUUCCCCCUGAUUUUAAUAGAAGUUUGUAUUUUAGGAACAAAAGAGAAAACCAGGGAAUUUAUUAAGCUUAGGGCAAAGAUGGACCACAUGAUCACCGGAGCAAAGUAUUCGGCGGCUGUGGCAUGGAGACUAUUCUGGAGAAAAUGGGCAUCCAGGGGAAGGUGCCAGCGAUGACCAGCUUCUGGAGCUGAUCAGGGAGGACAUGAGGCUGCAGAGGGAGGCAGAGCAGCAGAGAGCACAGGAGAGAAGGGAGAACUUUGACAGCUUUUUACUUUGCUAGAAAAAAAUGGUUAAUAAAGAUUAAACAUGUACAUAUAAAAGAAAUAUCUAAAUAAAAUCAGUUCUGCAUUAAACUC